UUUCAAACAUCUUCAAGGCAGAAACGUGUUGUAUUUGCAUGCUGUUUAGAAGGCAGUGUACUGAAUAGUACCAGUUUUUUCAGAGACAAAUAUGGUGUACUUAUUUGAAAAGAAAGGAUGAUACACAUACAUAGCCAUCCAAAAAAUCCUGCAACCAGUAGCAAAUUAUAUUACACAUUGGACACAUCCUAAAUGAUGCAAGACAAUUUCAGCCUCAGAACAUGCAAAACCACGACACACUGGUAUGGUCAAACCAGGCUCUUCACUCUCCAUUCAACUUGACAUUUGCAUUUCUUCUCCUUCAGCCUCUAUAAUUAUAUUGUUGUUUAUUUAACAUACCUUUUUUCUAAUCUCUACUCACAGUGACAUCCUAAAAUGUCACUUGAAAGUCUAUGUUGACAGAAGAAUUCCUCUCUUUAAAUUCUGGGAAGCUAUUUUUUGGGAACCUAUUAUGUCUCAAAUGCUAUGUACAAUUAGAGUUGCUUCAGUUCCAGAAUAUUCAGUUUUGCCAUGCAAUUCAUUGAUUAAUUGCAGAAUUAGCUAUAUCCUUUUGUGUGUUAUUUGGUUUACAGAUUCAAACUCUGUAUAUAGUAAACUUCUUAUGGGAAGAAAUCAUUUCUCAAACUAAUAUGAGUGUAAUAGUUAAAAAAGAAACAAUUUAUACAUUUUUAAUUUAAUAAACAUUUAUUUAUCAUUAAUCUUGAACAGGAUUUUCUGAUAGAUUAUUUUAAGGUCUAGAGCGAGAAAUGUGGGCGAAAGAUAAAGCAA
rnacentral:lncRNA from 1 species